rnacentral:lncRNA from 1 species
AGAACCGGUAAAAGACACCCAUUCCAACUUCCCGUACCAGCCUCCCCCCUCCCAGGAACCUAAGCAAUACCUAAUAGGAGAAGAAAGCCUCAAUACUUGACACUGGCCUGCGGAAUCCUCCCCGCCCAGCUGGUUCUCUGUCCGAUCCGAGCUUACUCUCACUCACAGGACCCUCACUGGCCGUCGUCUCUGCUAGGCAAACAUUUGCUCCACUGCGAUGCCUCAUCUCUCUACCUGGAGUAUUCGCCUCCAAGAGAUCUUCAGGGCCGCCUCUUCAUGUCACCUCACAGAGCAAACGUCAGCCCCGAGAGUGGCCAUGUGUGCUGUUCAGCUUCCCAUUCCUGUGAGGAAAUACCCAAGAGUACCCACUUACAAAGAGGAAUCAUUUCUUGGGGCUUCUUCGUUGUUGUUUUGGUUUGGUUUGGUCUUGGUUGUUGUUUGGUUUGGUUUGGUUUGGUUUUGGUUUUGGUCUUUCAAGGCAGAGUUUCUCUGUGGAGCCCUGGAUGUUCCCUCUGUAAACCAAGCUGGCCUUCAACUCAGAGAUUCUCCUGCCCCCUGAAUGCUGCGAUUAAAGGCAUAUUCGCCACCUCUCA